rnacentral:lncRNA from 1 species
AGAAACAGUGACCAAAACAGAACAAAGGAAAAUGCUGCUAAAAAGAAGCAAUGCCUUGGCACAGAGAUGGAACACUUACCUUUUAUUUUUUUCUUUUUUUUUUCCCUUUGAUUUUUGCAGAGGAGAAGGUGGAGUGCUCCAGCUCGUGCCGUGCUCAGUGGCUGCUCUGACAGAGCUGCAGGAAGUAGCAGACGGUACCACGUGCAGUUCUAAGUGCUUAGUACAGCCCCAACUGACAUCACCCACAACCAUUCCCCUGCAAGAUGCAGACUGAUACAAGAUUUCAUGUUGGAAGAAGCUUUCAAAAGCCUUUGACAAGAUCUUCUGUGACUGGAGAUGAACACCAAGCUAGACCUUCUGUGGGUGGCAAAACCAAACCAAAUGUUUCAAAGUCACCUUCCUGUCUGAUCAGUUUGGGUGACAUCCUGGCACUUUCAGGAACAGGAGGAAAGGGCUUUGAGGACAGAAGAAGAAAGAAGAUGGUCCAGCAAGAAUGCAGCGUCUUUUCUCUGCUUGGUUUCAGGAUGUUUGAGAUACAUGCCUAGCUGUCAGUGAGGGCUCUGGGCAAUGAUAAACAAGCUCAUGUCUUCAGCAGAGAGAUGGAUGUGAAUGUCUGCAGGUAGCUGCAGGAACAGCCACUGGUAUCCUUCACCUGCUUUUGGGUGCCCUGGAGAAGCCUGUCAUUGCACAGCCAAGCAGUCCCUUUGCUCAGGGCUUCUUUAAAGACCAGGAAAACAGGUUGCUGCAAGCCCCAUCCAACCUGGCCUUGAACACUCCUGGGAUGGGGCAGCCACAGCUUCUCUGGGCAACCUGUGCCAGGGCCUCACCACCCCCACAGUAGAAAAUUUCUUCUCAGUAUCUAAACCUGCCCUCUGACAGUGUGAAUCCAUUAUCUCUUGUCCUGUCACUCCAUGCCCCUGUAAAAAGUCUCUCCCCAGCUCUCCUGUGGCCCCUUCAGGCACUGGAAGGUCUCAAUGGAACCUUCUUUACUCCAGGCUGAACAUCUACAGAUUUCUUGAGUCUGUCUUCAUAGCAGAGAUGCUCCAGCACCCUCUGGGGCCUCCUCUGGGCCUGCUCCAACAAAUCCACAUCCCUCUGAUGUUGGGACAUGCAGAGUUGGAGCAGAGGGACAGAAUCCCCUACCUUGACCUGCUGCUGAGGACAUGGCUGGCUUUCAGCACCCCAAAGUCCUUCUCAGCAGGUCUCUUAAUCCACCCUGCUUCUGUCUGCUGGAUGGUGGAAUGACAGCCAGGGAUAUGUCAGCUAAUCUUUUUGCUCUGAAAUUUUACUUAAAAAAAUUAUUAAUAAAAUGGAGACGGUGCAUACCA